AGGACGAACGCUGGCGGCGUGCUUAACACAUGCAAGUCGAGCGGAAAGGCCUUUCGGGGUACUCGAGCGGCGAACGGGUGAGUAACACGUGAGUAAUCUGCCCAUCGCUUCAGGAUAGCCAUCGGAAACGGUGAUUAAUACUGGAUAUGACAUUCCUUCGCAUGGUUGGGGUGUGGUAAAGUUUUUUCGGCGGUGGAUGUGCUCGCGGCCUAUCAGCUUGUUGGUGGGGUAAUGGCCUACCAAGGCUUUGACGGGUAGCCGGCCUGAGAGGGUGACCGGCCACGA
rnacentral:rRNA from 1 species